GUGUCAGCAGCCGCGGUAAGACGAACCGUGCGAACGUUGUUCGGAUUCACUGGGCUUAAAGGGCGCGUAGGCGGGCGACCAAGUCAGGGGUGAAAUCUUUCGGCCCAACCGGAAAAGUGCCCCUGAUACUGGCCGCCUCGAGGGGGGUAGGGGCAUGCGGAACUUCCGGUGGAGCGGUGAAAUGCGUAGAUAUCGGAAGGAACGCCGGUGGCGAAAGCGGCGUGCUGGACCCCUUCUGACGCUGAGGCGCGAAAGCCAGGGGAGCAAACGGGAUUAGAAACCCCGGUAGUCC
rnacentral:rRNA from 1 species